rnacentral:rRNA from 1 species
GAUGAACGCUGGCGGCGUGCCUAAUACAUGCAAGUCGAGCGAACAGACGAGGAGCUUGCUCCUCUGACGUUAGCGGCGGACGGGUGAGUAACACGUGGAUAACCUACCUAUAAGACUGGGAUAACUUCGGGACACCGGAGCUAAUACCGGAUAAUAUAUUGAUCCGCAUGGUUCAAUAGUGAAAGACGGUUUUGCUGUCUCUUAUAGAUGGAUCCGCGCCGCAUUAGCUAGUUGGUAAGGUAACGGCUUACCAAGGCGACGAUGCGUAGCCGACCUGAAAGGGUGAUCGGCCACACUGGAACUGAGACACGGUCCAGACUCCUACGAGAGGCAGCAGUAGGGAAUCUUCCGCAAGGGGCGAAAGCCGGACGGAGCAACGCCGCGUGAGUGAUGAAGGUCUUCGGAUCGUAAAGCUCUGUUAUUAGGGAAGAACAAAUGUGUAAGUAACUAUGCACGUCUUGACGGUACCGAAUCAAAAAGCCACGGCUAACUACGUG